UACGUAGGGGGCAAGCGUUGUCCGGAUUUAUUGGGCGUAAAGAGCGUGUAGGCGGCUAGGUAGGUCCGUUGUGAAAACUCGGAGCUCAACUCCGAGCCUGCGUUCGAUACUGGACGGCUAGAGUCUGGUAGGGGGAUCUGGAAUUCCUGGUGUAGCGGUGGAAUGCGCAGAUAUCAGGAGGAACACCGGUGGCGAAGGCGGGAUCCUGGGCCAGUACUGACGCUGAGGAGCGAAAGCGUGGGGAGCAAACAGG
rnacentral:rRNA from 1 species